UACGUAGGGUGCAAGCGUUGUCCGGAAUUAUUGGGCGUAAAGAGCUCGUAGGCGGUCUGUCGCGUCUGCUGUGAAAACUCAGGGCUUAACCCUGAGCUUGCAGUGGGUACGGGCAGACUAGAGUGCGGUAGGGGAGACUGGAAUUCCCGGUGUAGUGGUGAAAUGCGUAGAUAUCGGGAGGAACACCAGUGGCGAAGGCGGUUCUCUGGGACGGUACUGACGCUGAGACGCGAAAGCGUGGGGAGCGAACAGG
rnacentral:rRNA from 1 species